CUUCCGCUUCUGCUGUCUUGAUGACGCACAGUGCUGGCGCAAGUCGUCUUGCGCCAGGCGACUGGGUCUGAGGAGGCAGGAGUUAUUCAUUCCCUUAAGCUUUCAGGCCGGGGGGAGAAUCUUUCAGGUGGUAGCUGCAAGAACUCUUAGUAUGUUGACCUCACCUCUGCCUUCCACAUACCACUACCAGUGAGGAAUUAGGAAUGCAUGAGAAGAGUGUCCAAGAAGAGUGUCCUCAUUCAUGCAAGGCUUAAGAGAGAAUGCAGGUCAACAUCACCAUGUCAAUCAGAGAAUACUUCUGUUGGGUUGAAUGACUCUCUGCCCCCAGGAAAGAGAUCUUCAUGUAAACAGAGUCCCUCUUAUUGGCUGAAGUGAAGAGUCAUUCUGAGGAGGAUCUGAAAAUGUAGAGGUGAGACGCUAAUGGCAGAGUGGCCUCAGCUUUCACCAGGUUUUGAAAACAUCUGUGAGGGAGGCACCAAAUUCACUGUCCUGCAGCUUUGACUUCCCAAUCCUCGUUGCCUCGUGCUGCCAGCCUGUAUGCUGGUAGAAGUGUGUUCCUGGGAACAUCCUGGCAUCUUGUGUUAGGACUACACUGGUGCAUGGGACAGAUCACGCUCAAGAAGGUCGAUGUAAUUUGAAAAACAGAUGGGCUCUGCUUUGUGAAAACUCCAAGCAUAUGAAGUCUAACUUGAAUAAAAGGCAUCUCAAGAUGAAGGUUUCCUAUUUGUGAUUAUGAAAAAAAUGUCAAGAACAAGUCCCUUGGUGUUCUUAGACCAAAGUCAGAACAACAGACCUAUUUAUGUCUACAAGACGCUGUUGAGAGCAACUUGAUUCCUCAUUCAUUUUUGUUUCCCACAAAGUUUAUGCCUGAAAUGUGUGUAUAAACAACAUUUGAAAGAAGAAAUGGAAAUCUCCCAUCACUACAUCUCAGUAUGAAGAGAUGGAGGGAAGUUAAGUCCUAAAUGACCAGAUUUGGAUGUUACAUGACAGGUGGCUUCUGCACAGUAAACUGAGGCAGAACUGUAAGUGAUGAGUAGGUAUUCAAGAAUGAAAGAGAUCAUGACCAAGGACAGCCACAUCCGACCAUUCGUUGUGUUUUGUUGAUAUGCCCUGACAAUAGAUGACAUAACCAAAGAAAGAAACUGCUGGGGGAUACAGGCCUAUACCUCUGGAUAUAUUUUUCUAUUGUGAUUUUAGCUUCAGAGCAACUUCCCUCUGACAUAACGAAGACUCUUGAGUAUUGAAGAUGAAUAUUUAUUGGGGAAAAAUGCAAUGGGAAAUAAAGAAAUCAGAAGAUUGGAGAUGCUUGACAAACUACUGGAAAUUUUAUUCCCAAGUAAUUUAUUUCUUAUUUGUAUCAAUUUGAUAAAUAUUAUGUAAGUUACGAUUAUGUUGAAUUGCAAAUAACAAGAGCAGGUGUUUAUUUUUUUUUACAUAAUAACAAGUCCAGAGGUGUGUUUAGAUGACUGUGCAAUGGCUAGGCCACUGGUUCUGAUGUUCUUGGCUUCUUCCUUAUGGUCACAAGAUGGCUGCUUCAGUACCAGUUCUUAUAUCUGCAUUUAAGAGAUUAAAAAAGAAAAAGAAGAAGAAAAAGAAAAAGAGGCACAGGUACUUCUGCAACUGCAUCUGUCCUCUUUUAUCAGGAAAGCAAAUGUGUUCCUAGGAAGCCACUGGUGGACUUGGUUUGUUUCAUGGCUAUGUUGUCUCGCAUGGCUAUGUAUCGCCAAAAGGGAACCUUUGAAAGGAAAUAUUUCAUUGAAUGUUUUUAUACUCUGAAAAUAAAGUCAUGUUUAUUAUAUAUGAGAUAAAAGAGAAUGGUUAUUAAACAGGUAAUAGACAGAAUUGGUCACUGCCAUUUAAUUCCAAUGUCAGGG
rnacentral:lncRNA from 1 species